rnacentral:rRNA from 1 species
UACGUAGGAGGCAAGCGUUGUCCGGAAUUACUGGGCGUAAAGAGUGUGUAGGCGGUGCUCCCAGUCUGUUGUGAAAUCUCCCGGCUUAACUGGGAGGGUGCAGCGGAAACUAGAGUGCUAGAGGGUGGGAGAGGUAAGCGGAAUUCCUGGUGUAGCGGUGAAAUGCGUAGAUAUCAGGAGGAACACCUGUGGUGUAGACAGCUUACUGGGACCACUUCUGACGCUGAGACACGAAAGCGUGGGUAGCAAACAGG